UGCUUAACACAUGCAAGUCGAACGGCAGCAUUUUCUAGCUUGCUAGAGAGAUGGCGAGUGGCGAACGGGUGAGUAACGCGUAGGAAUAUGCCUUGAAGUGGGGGACAACUUGGGGAAACUCAAGCUAAUACCGCAUAAUAUCUAAGGAUGAAAGCUGGGGACCUUCGGGCCUGGCGCUUUAAGAUUAGCCUGCGUCCGAUUAGCUAGUUGGUGGGGUAAGGGCCUACCAAGGCGACGAUCGGUAGCUGGUCUGAGAGGAUGGCCAGCCACACUGGAACUGAGACACGGUCCAGACUCCUACGGGAGGCAGCAGUGGGGAAUAUUGGACAAUGGGGGCAACCCUGAUCCAGCAAUGCCGCGUGUGUGAAGAAGGCCUGAGGGUUGUAAAGCACUUUCAGUGGGGAGGAGGGUUUAUAGGUUAAGAGCUAGUAGACUGGACGUUACCCACAGAAGAAGCACCGGCUAACUCCGUGCCAGCAGCCGCGGUAAUACGGAGGGUGCAAGUUAAUCGGAAUUACUGGG
rnacentral:rRNA from 1 species